CGAGCGGUAGAGAUCUUUCGGGAUCUUGAGUGCGGCGUACGGGUGCGGAACACGUGUGCAACCUGCCUUUAUCAGGGGGAUAGCCUUUCGAAAGGAAGAUUAAUACCCCAUAAUAUAUUGAAUGGCAUCAUUUGAUAUUGAAAACUCCGGUGGAUAGAGAUGGGCACGCGCAAGAUUAGAUAGUUGGUAGGGUAACGGCCUACCAAGUCAGUGAUCUUUAGGGGGCCUGAGAGGGUGAUCCCCCACACUGGUACUGAGACACGGACCAGACUCCUACGGGAGGCAGCAGUGAGGAAUAUUGGACAAUGGGUGAGAGCCUGAUCCAGCCAUCCCGCGUGAAGGACGACGGCCCUAUGGGUUGUAAACUUCUUUUGUAUAGGGAUAAACCUACUCUCGUGAGAGUAGCUGAAGGUACUAUACGAAUAAGCACCGGCUAACUCCGUGCCAGCAGCCGCGGUAAUACGGAGGGUGCAAGCGUUAUCCGGAUUUAUUGGGUUUAAAGGGUCCGUAGGCGGAUCUGUAAGUCAGUGGUAAAAUCUCAUAGCUUAACUAUGAAACUGCCAUUGAUACUGCAGGUCUUGAGUAAAGUAGAAGUGGCUGGAAUAAGUAGUGUAGCGGUGAAAUGCAUAGAUAUUACUUAGAACACCAAUUGCGAAGGCAGGUCACUAUGUUUUAACUGACGCUGAUGGACGAAAGCGUGGGGAGCGAACAGGAUUAGAUACCCUGGUAGUCCACGCCGUAAACGAUGCUAACUCGUUUUUGGGUUUUCGGAUUCAGAGACUAAGCGAAAGUGAUAAGUUAGCCACCUGGGGAGUACGUUCGCAAGAAUGAAACUCAAAGGAAUUGACGGGGGCCCGCACAAGCGGUGGAUUAUGUGGUUUAAUUCGAUGAUACGCGAGGAACCUUACCAAGGCUUAAAUGGGAAUUGACAGGUUUAGAAAUAGACUUUUCUUCGGACAAUUUUCAAGGUGCUGCAUGGUUGUCGUCAGCUCGUGCCGUGAGGUGUUAGGUUAAGUCCUGCAACGAGCGCAA
rnacentral:rRNA from 1 species